rnacentral:rRNA from 1 species
UACGUAGGGGGCGAGCGUUGUCCGGAAUCAUUGGGCGUAAAGAGCUCGUAGGCGGUUCAGCAAGUCGGCUGUGAAAUUCCGAGGCUCAACCUCGGAACUGCAGUCGAUACUGCUGUGACUCGAGUCCGGUAGAGGAGAAUGGAAUUCCCGGUGUAGCGGUGAAAUGCGUAGAGAUGUGGAGGAACACCAGUGGCGAAGGCGACUCUUUGGCCUGUAACUGACACUGAGGCGCGAAAGCGUGGGGAGCAAACAGG